AUUGAACGCUGGCGGCAGGCCUAACACAUGCAAGUCGAGCGGAGCGGCGGACGGGUGAGUAAUGCCUAGGAAUCUGCAUGGUAGUGGGGGAUAACGUCCGGAAACGGGCGCUAAUACCGCAUACUAUCAGAUGAGCCGAUGUCGGAUUAGCUAGUUGGCGGGGUAAAGGCCCACCAAGGCGACGAUCCGUAGCUGGUCUGGGAGGAUGAUCAGCCACACUGGAACUGAGACACGGUCCAGACUCCGACGGGAGGCAGCGGGGGGGAAUAUAGGACAAGGGGCGCAAGGCUAAUCCAGCCAUACGGCGUGGGUGAAGGCCUUCGGGUUGUAAAGCCCUUUUGUUGAGAAAGCGGUACCCAAAGAAUAAGCACCGGCUAACUUCGUGCCAGCCGCCGCGGUAAUUC
rnacentral:rRNA from 1 species